AACGAACGCUGGUGGCAUGCCUAACACAUGCAAGUCGAACGAGACCUUCGGGUCUAGUGGCGCACGGGUGCGUAACGCGUGGGGACCUGCCCUUAGGUUCGGAAUAACUCCCCGAAAGGGGUGCUAAUACCGGAUAAUGUCUUCGGACCAAAGAUUUAUCGCCUUUGGAUGGGCCCGCGUUGGAUUAGCUAGUUGGUAGGGUAAAAGCCUACCAAGGCGACGAUCCAUAGCUGGUCUGAGAGGAUGAUCAGCCACACUGGGACUGAGACACGGCCCAGACUCCUACGGGAGGCAGCAGUGGGGAAUAUUGGACAAUGGGCGAAAGCCUGAUCCAGCAAUGCCGCGUGAGUGAUGAAGGCCUUAGGGUUGUAAAGCUCUUUUACCCGGGAUGAUAAUGACAGUACCGGGAGAAUAAGCUCCGGCUAACUCCGUG
rnacentral:rRNA from 1 species